GUAGCCGUUUGUCUCCGGGAUCUGUGCACGAACGGUUGUGUCGAACGCGAUGGGGGGUGUGUGACAUUCCUACAGUCUGUGAUGAUAGGCUAUAUUUCUACAAAUGACUUACUAUUACUAGCGAUUAACAUGACGAAACAACACGAACUAAGCUAACAUUAUAUUUCUACAAAUGACUUACUAUUACUAGCGAUUAACAUGACGAAACAACACGAACUAAGCUAACAUUAGACUAUAAAGAAAACACUUUUGGCGGGUAAAGGGUUAACUGACUUCAAAAAGUCAACACUGUCAAUGGUGAAAUUGUCCAGAUCAUUAGAUUAACAUUAAUCUUUACUCUUUUUCUCGAACAUCUUAUAGAUCCACCCUGGGUACCGUCGUAUUUUAAAAUAAUAAAUACAAGCAAUGGAUACAUUUCUGGAUUUGUCCAGACUCAAAAAGAAUUGGAGAGUCUGCUGGAGGUCCACUCAAGGGCCACACUGACAUCGUUUGUCAAAUGGUCUGAACACAUAAAAGAUGGCACCAAAGAGAGGCAUCUAUGGCAGGUGGAGGAUUUCAAUGAAGACACCCCUCUAUGUGUAAAGAAAAGAAUGGUCCUUGCUUGUCAGCAUGGCAGAGCUCGACAGAAAAAAGAAAAGGAGAAACGUUCAGCAGAGCAUGUAUACACAAAAAAACGUUUUCAUGUCCAAAAUGGGAAGAAGUUGGACUGCCCAGCUAAACUUUUCAUUCGGCAUGUGCUGAGAUAUGACUCAUUCAGUGUGAGAGGGGAUGCCACAAAAUCCCAUAAAGAAGACACUAUGAGAAAUCUUAAGAUAGCACUUCAAAACUCAGAAAACCCACCAACCUCUACAUUCAUUCAUCUAAAAAUUCCUCUAUUGGAAGUUCACAAUCAUACAAUUGGAGCAGGAUCCUGUUUUUCAAGACCGAUCCAUCCAAAACUAAAAAAUCAAAUUCAGGUGAUGGUCGGACAAGGGAUAACUAAUAUAGCUUUCGUGAAGAGAGCCUUGAAGCAGUAUGUGCUAAAUGACUUGUGAGGAGAGAGGAUCCUGGAUGGAGGAGGGGAGAGGAUGCUGGAUGGUGGAUGCAGAGGAGAAAUCAUGGUAGACAG